rnacentral:lncRNA from 1 species
AGAGAGUCCUGCUGGGCCCGGCGGAGGCGGGCGUGGUGGGGGAGGGGCUCUCUCUUUUGCCCUUUUACCCCUCUGGUAGGCGCCCUAGGGCGGGGGUGCUGCCGCGCGCUUCGGCGCGCCUUGGUUCUGUCACCAGCCCCACUGGGGCCUCACAAUCGCUCAGCCGUCCAGUGCGCGCCUGGAGAAAGAGAAGUGGGCGACUACGGAGCAGCGUCUCCAUUACUGACCGUUUUCUCGCCAUUGUACCCACACAACUUGCUCUAAAUGGGCAAUUUAUUAAGUAUAUUUUGUCCCUGUUCCCGCCGCAGGCCCCUGCCGGACCGUCGCCCACAAGCUCCCAUAGCCCGUGAGUCCUCUCAGCCUGGCCCGGCUCACCCUGUGGCGCCCACGUCUACCCCGGGCCCUUUCCGAUUCCUCUUUAACCCUCAGCAGAGUCGCGGGCCUUCUCCAGUCAGCUUCUACAGCGCGCCUAGGAGACCGUGUCCUCUCCCGCCAGACACGGGCGCCCCCCUGGGGGUCCUGCCUGCUGUGGGCUGCGGGCUCCCCUCAAGGAAGAAACCCGUGCUGUCUAGUGGCAACUCCAUGAUGUUGGGACACCCCAGCUCGGUGAGGAUCCCUCCUCCCAGCAGCAAGUUCACUCUCUAACUGCCUUCACCACGUGAGCAGGUGGCUGGGGCUAGGAAGCUGAUUCCGAUCCCAGCCAGGCCGCCGAAUAAGACCAAGAUACAGAAUUGUGUGUUCUUCAUCUGGGCUUUUGUCCUGCCCAUACCCAGCAGGCACACAGCCCAUAAAGCAGGAAAAGGAACCAAGGUGAAGGAGGCAGAAACUCUGCAGCCAGCAAGGAGGAGGUGCUAUCUCCCUGCAGUACAAAUUCACCAAGAGCCUAGAGAGAUGAAGAGAGAUGCCAGGAAGAAGAGAGACGCCAGGAAACAGAAGCCCACAGCUGGCAGAGCUGGGGCCUAGCUGUGGUCACUCUGGAGCCUGCCCCGUGGUGUUUUUAUGAGUGGUGGAAAGAACAGUGACAAUAUGGAGCCCACAAAGGAAGCUCAAGCAGUAACAUAGCAAGAGGGAAGACAAUUCAAAGGGAAGAGGCCCAUGGUCUUCUUUCUUUUUCUUUGUGAUUUCUACUGUCAGGGAGGCUCCUUAUUUAUAAAGAACAUGACUGUGUUUAUCUCCCAAGUUCUCACCCCCAGAUUAAUGUUUUCAGAAAGACUUGGGCCAUCAACAAUUAGAGGAGAAGUUGUACUGAUGUGUGAGGGAUGCAUUUUGACAAUUUGUGGUCCAGUUAUUUCGUUUAUGUUAAUGAUUCAAUCUCAGAAACCAUUAAAAGUUUCUGGUAUCCCAACUACUCUUACCCGGGGAAAAGAGGAGGUUCUUUCAAUUGGAAACUGUUCGCCUGGCAUAAAGAAAA